rnacentral:rRNA from 1 species
CACGUAGGGUCCGAGCGUUGUCCGGAAUUACUGGGCGUAAAGCGUGCGCAGGCGGCUUUGCAAGACAGAUGUGAAAUCCCCGGGCUCAACCUGGGAACUGCAUUUGUGACUGCAAGGCUGGAGUGCGGCAGAGGGGGAUGGAAUUCCGCGUGUAGCAGUGAAAUGCGUAGAUAUGCGGAGGAACACCGAUGGCGAAGGCAAUCCCCUGGGCCUGCACUGACGCUCAUGCACGAAAGCGUGGGGAGCAAACAGG